rnacentral:rRNA from 1 species
UUUAUGGAGAGUUUGAUCCUGGCUCAGGAUGAACGCUGGCGGCGUGCCUAAUACAUGCAAGUCGAGCGAACGGACGAGAAGCUUGCUUCUCUGAUGUUAGCGGCGGACGGGUGAGUAACACGUGGAUAACCUACCUAUAAGACUGGGAUAACUUCGGGAAACCGGAGCUAAUACCGGAUAAUAUUUUGAACCGCAUGA